rnacentral:lncRNA from 10 species
CUCGGCCCCUAAGCUCCGCCCACUCCCCGCCCCUGAGGUCCAUCUGGGGCCUCGCCCGGCGAUCUGGGACUGGGGAGGACCCUGCUGACUUCCAGGCAGGUGGAAACUGGAUUGAUAGAAAUCCAGCGCGGGGAGGCUGUGCUGAGAGGAGGGACGCCCCUGCCCUGCGCCUCCCGCUCCCCAUCUCUGGCUGGUAUCCCGGUUACAGAAUGAGGGUCCGUGGUGCAACAGAAAGAAUGAGCCACUGAUACACUCAUCAGCUUGCUCGGAUCUCCCGGGGAGUUACGCUGGUGAGAGAAACCAGUCCCAAAGGUCACUCACCGACGGCGCCGCUGGUGUACUGGUAUUAUGCAAGAUGCCCUCGCAAAGGUCACGCACGGAUGGUUCAUUUAUCCAAAGACCAAAGGAGAGAAAUGCAGGACUCAUUAGCAGUGCCCAGGAGAUAGGGGGGCGGGUGGGUGUGGCUAUAAAAACGCAACCCGGGGGGUGCCUGUGAAGGAAAUCUGCGUCCCGCGGAACGCAACACGCUGUUGGGAUACUGGAUUGUCCUUUGUGAGAUGCCACUAUCGGGGGAAACCGGAUGGCUUCACAGAAAAAGUUCGUUUAAAGGAAAAUGGUUUAAGGCCAAGGAAAUACCUAGAAAACGGAAAGUCUUGAAACCAGAGCCGGUGGGGAGUUAUGGGGGGCGGUGCUGGUGAACAGUUUGGGCCGACUUUUUCCAGCGCUUGCUGGCUUCUGCCACCUCAUUUGGCAGUCACCUGCCACUGUGACCUCCCCAAGUCCCUUCUCCAAACUCAAUUCCUUGAUUUCUGGUGUCCCGGGAUGGCCCCACUCCAACAAUAGAGCAGAAGGAAGGAAGGUUUCCCCUGUGUUUAGAACGUUCCUAACGAAAAUAACUGCAACUCUUGAUUGUACCUCCUGAGGGUCGUUGGGACUUUCCCUCUCAGACAUUUAUUGGUUCAUUCAUUCGUUCAUUUUGCUGUAACUCACAGUGGCCCUCCCCAUCCUAAGGUGCACUGCUGGGAUUGGUCUAUGUGCUGAUGAUGUUCUCCUUGUCUUCAGAGGAAAAAGAAUGCCUGUGUUUCGAAGUUCCUUCUUAGGACGAAACCAGCUGAAGCUGGCGAAAUCCAAGAUGGCGCCUCUGAAGAGCCUCUGGCUUUAUCAUCAUCCUGUUCUCAUGCUAAACAACAUGUCGCCAUGACAACGACUGGAAGAGACCAAGAAGGGACAGAAAAAAAGGGGUUUCUUGAUUCCGGGAAAAAUCUCCGUUCUUUCCCAAGGAAAGCACGAAUAUUCCCCCCCGUGCUCUUAAUGCCCAGCCCCUUCAUUAAAGACACCCUACCUCUGAAA